rnacentral:rRNA from 1 species
AGAUAAUGUGACCAAGCUAAUAAGUGCAUAUGGUGGAUGCCUUGGCUAAGACUGUCGAUGAAGGACGUGGUAAGCUGCGUUAAGCGUCGGGGAGGUGCAAACAACCUUUGAUCCGGCGAUUUCCGAAUGGGGUAACCCACUGCAGAGUAAUCUACAGUAUCCGAGAGGAAGGCAACCCGGGGAAGUGAAACAUCUCAGUACCCGGAGCAAAAGAAAUCAACCGAGAUACCGAAAGUAGUGGCGAGCGAAAUCGGUAUAGCCUAAACCAUUGUGUUUACACAAAGGGGUUGCAGGACCGCGUGAGUAGAGUUACCAAUCAAAAAGCUAAUUGAACGGUUUGGAAAAUCCGACCAUAGAAGGUGAAAGUCCUGUAAGUGAAAGUUUUUUGACUCGAAGCGGUAUCCUAAGUACCGUCGGACACGUGAAAUCCGGCGGGAAUCUGGGGGGACCACCCUCCAAGGCUAAAUACAAGUCUUAGACCGAUAGUGAACUAGUACCGUGAGGGAAAGGCGAAAAGAACCGCGGGAGCGGAGUGAAAUAGAACCUGAAACCGUAUGCAUACAAGCAGUUCGAGGCUUAUGCCGGAAGCGCAAGUAACCGGAAUGGCUGAGAGCGUGCCUGUUGAAGAAUGAUCCGGCGAGUUAUUGGUAGGUGCAAGGUUAAUUAUUAUGUUUACGCAUAUUAAGCAGCCGUAGCGAAAGCAAGUCUGAAAGGGCAAAUAGUACCUAUCAUUAGACCCGAAGCCAAGUGAUCUAUGCCUGGACAGAGUGAAUCCCCUUUAAUAGGGGGAGGAGGCUCGAAGCGUCGACCGUUAAAAAGGUCUUGCAUGAGCUGGGUAUAGGGGUGAAAGGCCAAUCUAACUUGGUGAUAGCUGGUUCUCCUCGAAAUAGUUUUUGGGCUAGCCUGGAGCGUUAAACCAGAGAGGUAGAGCACUGGAUAGUUUAGUGAGUGUAACCCACUUUGCAAUGCUAACCAAACUCCGAAUUCUUUGGCGUAUUUCUCUGGAGUCAGUACGUGUGGGAUAAGCUUCACGUGCAAAAGGGAAACAACCCAGACCAUCAAUUAAGGUCCCCAAAUAUAUGCUAAGUGGUAAAGGAUGUGGAAUUUCUUAGACAGCUAGGAGGUUGGCUUAGAAGCAGCCAUCCUUUAAAGAGUGCGUAACAGCUCACUAGUCAAGUGAUUCUGCGCCGAAGACACCCGGGGCUCAAGCAUAUUACCGAAAUUAUGGAUUCUAUAGCAAGUAAGUUAUAGAGUGGUAGAGGAGCGUUCCUGCUGCGCUGAAGGCAUACCGUAAGGAGUGCUGGAGUUGCAGGAAGUGAGAAUGUCGGAAUAAGUAGCGAUAAGAGAGGUGAAAAUCCUCUCCGCCGAAAACCUAAGGUUUCCUUGAGUAAAGUUCGUCUGCUCAGGGUCAGUCGAUCCUAAGCCGAGGUCGAAAGACGUAGGCGAUGGGUAUCCGGUUAAUAUUCCGGAACUAUCUUUGGUGCGUAUAAUGUGUUCGGCUACGCUUUUCAGUAGGUCAUCAUCCGAUUGGAAGUGGAUGUUGCCCCGUAAGGGGGAGGAGCUGAGGUAACUCGGGAAACUGACUGUAUGGAAAGCCAAGAAAAACCCGGACACCUGUGCCAGAGGUAAACGUACCGCAAACGGACACACGUAGGUGGGGUGAAAAUCCUAAGGCGCGCGAGAUAACUUUCGUUUAGGAACUCGGCAUAUUAGCCCCGUAACUUCGGGAUAAGGGGUGCCUGUGGUAACACAGGUCGCAGUGAAAUGGCCCUCGUGACUGUUUAACAAAAACACAGGACUCUGCUGAAAUCGCAAGAUGAUGUAUAGGGUCUGACGCCUGCCCGGUGCUGGAAGGUCAAGGGGAGGAGUUAGCGCAAGUGAAGCUCUGAACUUAAGCCCCAGUAAACGGCGGCCGUAACUAUAACGGUCCUAAGGUAGCGAAAUUCCUUGUCGGGUAAGUUCCGACCUGCACGAAUGGCGUAACAAAGAGGGCACUGUCUCAACGAAAGACUCGGCGAAAUUGUGGUACCCGUGAAGACGCGGGUUGCCUGCGGCUAGACGAAAAGACCCCGUGGAGCUUUACUGUAUCUUAGUCUUGAAUUAUGGAAGUAAAUGCGUAGAAUAGGCGGGACCCUUUGAAGCAUGGCUUUUGGGUCGUGCGGAGGGGCAAUGUGAAAUACCGCUCUUUUAGUUCUGUGGUUCUAACUCCUUUGUUUGAAUCGACAGGGAGAACAUGGCUAGGUGGGCAGUUUAACUGGGGCGGUUGCCUCCUAAAUAGUAACGGAGGCGUUCAAAGGUACCCUCAGGACCAAUAGAAAUGGUCUAUAGAGUGCAAGUGCAGAAGGGUGCUUAACUGCAAGACAAACAGGUCGAGCAGAUGCGAAAGCAGGAACUAGUGAUCCGGCGGUUUAGUGUGGAAUUGCCGUCGCUCAACGAAUAAAAGCUACCCCGGGGAUAACAGGCUUAUUUUCUCCGAGAGUCCAUAUCGACGAGAAAGUUUGGCACCUCGAUGUCGGCUCAUCCCAUCCUGGGGCUGGAGUAGGUCCCAAGGGUUUGGCUGUUCGCCAAUUAAAGGGGUACGCGAGCUGGGUUCAGUACGUCGUGAGACAGUACGGUCUCUAUCUACCGUGGGCGCAGGAAACUUGAGAGGACUCGUUCUUAGUACGAGAGGACCGGAAUGAACAUACCUCUGGUGUUUCGGUUGUUCCGCCAGGAGCAUUGCCGAGUAGCCAAGUAUGGAUGAGAUAAACACUGAAAGCAUAUAAGUGUGAAACUCGCCUCAAGAUAAGGUUUCCCCUGAAGGGCACUUGUAGACUACAAGUUUGAUAGGCUGGAAGUGGAAGUACAGUAAUGUAUGUAGCUAACCAGUACUAAUUGCCCGCUCGGCUUGGUCGC